rnacentral:rRNA from 1 species
UGCAGUAGAACGCUGAAGAGAGGAGCUUGCUCUUCUUGGAUGAGUUGCGAACGGGUGAGUAACGCGUAGGUAACCUGCCUUGUAGCGGGGGAUAACUAUUGGAAACGAUAGCUAAUACCGCAUAACAAUGGAUGACACAUGUCAUUUAUUUGAAAGGGGCAAUUGCUCCACUACAAGAUGGACCUGCGUUGUAUUAGCUAGUAGGUGAGGUAAUGGCUCACCUAGGCGACGAUACAUAGCCGACCUGAGAGGGUGAUCGGCCACACUGGGACUGAGACACGGCCCAGACUCCUACGGGAGGCAGCAGUAGGGAAUCUUCGGCAAUGGGGGCAACCCUGACCGAGCAACGCCGCGUGAGUGAAGAAGGUUUUCGGAUCGUAAAGCUCUGUUGUAAGUCAAGAACGGGUGUGAGAGUGGAAAGUUCACACUGUGACGGUAGCUUACCAGAAAGGGACGGCUAACUACGUGCCAGCAGCCGCGGUAAUACGUAGGUCCCGAGCGUUGUCCGGAUUUAUUGGGCGUAAAGCGAGCGCAGGCGGUUUGAUAAGUCUGAAGUUAAAGGCUGUGGCUCAACCAUAGUUCGCUUUGGAAACUGUCAAACUUGAGUGCAGAAGGGGAGAGUGGAAUUCCAUGUGUAGCGGUGAAAUGCGUAGAUAUAUGGAGGAACACCGGUGGCGAAAGCGGCUCUCUGGUCUGUAACUGACGCUGAGGCUCGAAAGCGUGGGGAGCGAACAGGAUUAGAUACCCUGGUAGUCCACGCCGUAAACGAUGAGUGCUAGGUGUUGGAUCCUUUCCGGGAUUCAGUGCCGCAGCUAACGCAUUAAGCACUCCGCCUGGGGAGUACGACCGCAAGGUUGAAACUCAAAGGAAUUGACGGGGGCCCGCACAAGCGGUGGAGCAUGUGGUUUAAUUCGAAGCAACGCGAAGAACCUUACCAGGUCUUGACAUCCCGAUGCUAUUUCUAGAGAUAGAAAGUUACUUCGGUACAUCGGUGACAGGUGGUGCAUGGUUGUCGUCAGCUCGUGUCGUGAGAUGUUGGGUUAAGUCCCGCAACGAGCGCAACCCCUAUUGUUAGUUGCCAUCAUUCAGUUGGGCACUCUAGCGAGACUGCCGGUAAUAAACCGGAGGAAGGUGGGGAUGACGUCAAAUCAUCAUGCCCCUUAUGACCUGGGCUACACACGUGCUACAAUGGUUGGUACAACGAGUUGCGAGUCGGUGACGGCGAGCUAAUCUCUUAAAGCCAAUCUCAGUUCGGAUUGUAGGCUGCAACUCGCCUACAUGAAGUCGGAAUCGCUAGUAAUCGCGGAUCAGCACGCCGCGGUGAAUACGUUCCCGGGCCUUGUACACACCGCCCGUCACACCACGAGAGUUUGUAACACCCGAAGUCGGUGAGGUAACCUU